rnacentral:lncRNA from 1 species
AGAAUCAAACAGACACACAGGUGAUUCCAAUGAUUUUGACAAAAGAGAGAGUAAACUAAUUAAUCGACGAAAACUACUCAAAUCGAUUAUGCAAUUUAUAACAUAUACUCAAACGAACAGAAGAAAUCAUAACCAAAUAAAAGAUCGGAUUGGAGAAGAGAAAACAGAAUGAUUUGACAAAAAUUAACAAAACCAAUAAACUACACUGAACAGAUAAACAAAUAUAGACACAACAUAGACAAAAAGGGGGAGGCAAAAAUACCUUGAAACUCAUAAACCAGAUGACCUUAAGUUUUCGUUCAUAAACUGAAGAAGAAGAUAAACGCGACACUGGUGGUUUCAGAGUCAGUUGACGAUGAGGCGGAGCUGCUGUUUUGUCGAGCUGUAGAAGAAGUCGACGAUGGAGCAGUUGGUGUUAUGGAGGUUGUUUCAGGCGGAGGAAAGGCUGGACGGACUGGAAGUCAUUUUGGACGUUGUUCGUUCAGGUGAGUGACAAGAGCGAUGGUGACUUUUUGGAGCUCGUGGUCGUAACGAUGGGGUAGUCGUUGGACGGGAAACGGGAAGGAGAAGACAACGAAGAUGAAGCAGUGGCAGUAGGAGACGGAAGGGGUCGUUUGGAGAAGAAGGUGGUCGACUGGGUAGUGUCACAUAGACGGUGACUGGUUCACGACGACAAUGGUUCCGGACGAUGAUGGGGUGGCGAGUUGGUUUUCUAUAAUGAGGGACGACGGGGAAGGGAGAGGCAGCGGCUGGGCUAUGGUUCCACUAGGUUUAGGGUUCUUUUGUUUGUUU